rnacentral:rRNA from 1 species
GAUGAACGCUAGCGGCAGGCCUAAUACAUGCAAGUCGAGGGAGAAUGUUGGAUUCGUCUGACAUGAAACCGGCGCACGGGUGCGUAGCACGUAUGCAACCUACCUUUAACUGGGGUAUAGCUCAGAGAAAUCUGAAUUAAUCCCCCAUAAGACUACGACAUGGCAUCAUGAUGUAGUUAAAGCUCCGGCGGUUAAGGAUGGGCAUGCGGUACAUUAGCUAGUUGGUGAGGUAAUGGCUCACCAAGGCUACGAUGUAUAGGGGGUCUGAGAGGAUGAUCCCCCACACUGGUACUAGGACACGGACCAGACUCCUACGGGAGGCAGCAGUAGGGAAUAUUGGUCAAGGGACGCAAGUCUGAACCAGCCGUGCCGCGUGAAGGAUGAAGGCCCUACGGGUCGUAAACUUCUUUUAUUAGGGAAGAAAAAACGGGGUGCGUCCUGUACUGACGGUACUUAAUGAAUAAGGAUCGGCUAACUUCGUGCCAGCCGCCGCCGUAA